AGUGAACGCUGGCGGUAGGCCUAACACAUGCAAGUCGAACGGCAGCACAGUAAGAGCUUGCUCUUACGGGUGGCGAGUGGCGGACGGGUGAGGAAUACAUCGGAAUCUACUUUUUCGUGGGGGAUAACGUAGGGAAACUUACGCUAAUACCGCAUACGACCUACGGGUGAAAGCAGGGAAUCUUCGGACCUUGCGCGAUUGAAUGAGCCGAUGUCGGAUUAGCUAGUUGGCGGGGUAAAGGCCCACCAAGGCGACGAUCCGUAGCUGGUCUGAGAGGAUGAUCAGCCACACUGGAACUGGGACACGGUCCAGACUCCUACGGGAGGCAGCAGUGGGGAAUAUUGGACAAUGGGCGCAAGCCUGAUCCAGCCAUACCGCGUGGGUGAAGAAGGCCUUCGGGUUGUAAAGCCCUUUUGUUGGGAAAGAAAAGCAGCAGGUUAAUACCCCGCUGUUCUGACGGUACCCAAAGAAUAAGCACCGGCUAACUUCGUG
rnacentral:rRNA from 1 species